AAGCAGGGACAUUGGAAGGGAAUUGCAAGAAUUAUUUUUUGCAAAUGUGAAGCAUGAUGCAAGUAUUGCAUCAAAAGGUUUGUAUACGAUACAAACUAAUUUAUUAUUGAGCACUUUAACUUCUGAUUCUUGGAUAUUGGGUGGUUCUCAUAUAUGCAAAUCAUUGCAUAGACUAUAGAGAAUUAAGAGUUUAAAGAAGGGUGACUUCGAGUUUUAUAGCAUGAGUG
rnacentral:lncRNA from 1 species